rnacentral:rRNA from 1 species
AGUGAACGCUGGCGGUAGGCCUAACACAUGCAAGUCGAACGGCAGCACAGUAAGAGCUUGCUCUUACGGGUGGCGAGUGGCGGACGGGUGAGGAAUACAUCGGAAUCUACUUUUUCGUGGGGGAUAACGUAGGGAAACUUACGCUAAUACAGCAUACGACCUACGGGUGAAAGCAGGGGAUCUUCGGACCUUGCGCGAUUGAAUGAGCCGAUGUCGGAUUAGCUAGUUGGCGGGGUAAAGGCCCACCAAGGCGACGAUCCGUAGCUGGUCUGUGUGGAUGAUCAGCCACACUGGAACUGAGACACGGUCCAUACUCCUACGGGAGGCAGCAGUGGGGAAUAUUGGACAAUGGGCGCAAGCCUGAUCCAGCCAUACCGCGUGGGUGAAGAAGGCCUUCGGGUUGUAAAGCCCUUUUGUUGGUAAAGAAAAGCAGCAGGUUAAUACCCCGCUGUUCUGACGGUACCCAAAGAAUAAGCACCGGCUAACUUCGUG